rnacentral:rRNA from 1 species
UACGAAGGGGGCUAGCGUUGCUCGGAAUUACUGGGCGUAAAGCGUGCGCAGGCGGUUUUGUAAGUUUGUCGUGAAAGCCCCGGGCUCAACCUGGGAAUGGCGAUGAAGACUGCAAGGCUUGAAUCUGGCAGAGGGGGGUAGAAUUCCACGUGUAGCAGUGAAAUGCGUAGAGAUGUGGAGGAACACCGAUGGCGAAGGCAGCCCCCUGGGUCAAGAUUGACGCUCAUGCACGAAAGCGUGGGGAGCAAACAGG